rnacentral:lncRNA from 1 species
UGUCCCCUGGCAGCUCCCACUGCCAGGUAUGUCUCUGCAGAUGCCUAGUCUCUGCUGUUUGGCUAAGAGGCUGGCCUGCAUGUGCAAAGAUCUGCCGCGUGAAGGGUGGGGCAGCACAGUCCUGAGUGUAGUGAGGCCAGCUGAACCUCUGCUGGUCCUCACCUCUGUCCUCUCCCCCACAGCUGAGGGGAGGGUAGAGGAGCUGGAGGUCCCUUGGACAGGACAGGGACUGGGUUUGGCCAGGGUGCAGAGGGUAUGGCACAGUGGUAGGUCUCACUGUUGUGGUUUGUUCCUGAAUUUGUACUGUGAGCCCAUGAUGGGGUGGGGUGUCCUGAGACCCCAGGAUGUGCCAAAAUAGCCCCUAGGGCCAGGUGAAGAGCCGAGUUCCCAAGAAGACAGGCUGGGGGCCCAAGUGGGUGUGUGCCCCUGCCUGCACGGCCCCCAAUGCUGCUGUUUUUCAAUAAAACCAGAAUUGAAGGAA